rnacentral:rRNA from 1 species
GAAGCGGCAACAGCUCAAAUUUGAAAUCUGGCCCCCCCGCCCGGGGGGCCCGAGUUGUAAUCUGCAGAGGAUGCUUCUGGCCAGCGGCGCCUUCCGAGUUCCCUGGAACGGGACGCCACAGAGGGUGAGAGCCCCGUCCGGUCGGACGCCCGGCCUGUGUGAAGCUCCUUCGACGAGUCGAGUAGUUUGGGAAUGCUGCUCAAAACGGGAGGUAUAUGUCUUCCAAAGCUAAAUACCGGCCGGAGACCGAUAGCGCACAAGUAGAGUGAUCGAAAGAUGAAAAGCACUUUGAAAAGAGGGUUAAACAGUACGUGAAAUUGUUGAAAGGGAAGCGCUCGCGACCAGACGUGGGCCCGGCGGAUCACCCGGCGUUCUCGCCGGUGCACUCCGCCCGGGCCCAGGCCAGCAUCGGCUCGCCGCGGGGGAGAAAGGCGUCGGGAACGUGGCUCCUCCGGGAGUGUUAUAGCCCGUCGCGCAAUGCCCCGCGGCGGACCGAGGCCCGCGCACCCGCAAGGAUGCUGGCGUAAUGGUCGCCAGCGACCCGUCUUGAAACACGGACCAAGGAGUCGUCUUCGUAUGCGAGUGUUCGGGUGUCAAACCCCUACGCGGAAUGAAAGUGAACGCGGGUGGGAGCCCCCCGGGGCGCACCACCGACCGAUCCUGAUGUUCUCGGAUGGAUUUGAGUAGGAGCAUACGGGGCCGGACCCGAAAGAAGGUGAACUAUGCCUGCGUAGGGUGAAGCCAGAGGAAACUCUGGUGGAGGCUCGCAGCGGUUCUGACGUGCAAAUCGAUCGUCAAACGUGGGCAUGGGGGCGAAAGACUAAUCGAACCUUCUAGUAGCUGGUUC